CAGCAGCCGCCACGGUAAUACGUAGGGUGCAAGCGUUAAUUGGAAUUACUGGGCGUAAAGCGUGCGCAGGCGGUUAUAUAAGACAGAUGUGAAAUCCCCGGGCUCAACCUGGGAACUGCAUUUGUGACUGUAUAGCUAGAGUACGGCAGAGGGGGAUGGAAUUCCGCGUGUAGCAGUGAAAUGCGUAGAUAUGCGGAGGAACACCGAUGGCGAAGGCAAUCCCCUGGGCCUGUACUGACGCUCAUGCACGAAAGCGUGGGGAGCAAACAGGAUUAGAUACCCGUGUAGUCCCUGUCUCUUAUAC
rnacentral:rRNA from 1 species